AUGAUAAAUUCACCCCAUGCUUAUGAACAAAACAAAGCUUUUACUAAACAUAUUGUUGAUGCUAUGAUGAAAGCUCUUGAAGAAAAGUUGGAAUUAGAAGUUUCAAUUCCUAGAAAAUUGCAUGAUGAAUGGGAACCUACUAUCAAAGUCAAGAUUAAAAAUUAUGAGUGUUUUUCUUUGUGUGACUUGGAUGCUAGUGUUUCUACAAUUCCGAAAUCUUUAUGUGAUGUGCUUGGUCUUACCAAUCUUGAAGAAUGCUCUUUGAAUUUGCACUUGGUGGAUUCUACUAUUAAAAAGCCUAUGGGAAGAAUUAAUGAUGUUCUUAUUCUUGCAAAUAGGAAUUAUGUUCCCAUAGAUUUUAUGUUCUUGAUAUUGAUUGCAAUCCGUCUUGUCCAAUUAUUCUUGGUGGACCAUUUUUACGCACUAUCGGUGCCGUGA
rnacentral:rRNA from 1 species